rnacentral:rRNA from 1 species
UACGUAGGUGGCGAGCGUUGUCCGGAAUUACUGGGUGUAAAGGGCGUGUAGGCGGGAAUGCAAGUCAGAUGUGAAAUACCGAGGCUUAACUUCGGGGCUGCAUCUGAAACUGCGUUUCUUGAGUGUCGGAGAGGAAAGUGGAAUUCCCAGUGUAGCGGUGAAAUGCGUAGAUAUUGGGAGGAACACCAGUGGCGAAGGCGACUUUCUGGACGAUAACUGACGCUGAGGCGCGAAAGCGUGGGGAGCAAACAGG